CCUACGGGUGGCUGCAGUGGGGAAUAUUGCACAAUGGGGGAAACCCUGAUGCAGCGACGCCGCGUGAGUGAAGAAGUAUCUCGGUACGUAAAGCUCUAUCAGCAGGGAAGAAAACGAUGGUAUUUGACAAAGAAGCCCCGGCUAACUACGGGCCAGCAGCCGCGGUAAUACGUAGGGGGCAAGCGUUAUCCGGAUUUACUGGGUGUAAAGGGAGCGUAGACGGCAGCGCAAGUCUGGAGUGAAAUGCCGGGGCUCAACCCCGGAACUGCUUUGGAAACUGUGCGGCUCGAGUGCAGGAGAGGGAAGUGGAAUUCCGGGUGUAGCGGUGAAAUGCGUAGAUAUUAGGAGGAACACCAGUGGCGAAGGCGGCUUACUGGACUGUAACUGACGUUGAGGCUCGAAAGCGUGGGGAGCAAACAGGAUUAGAUACCCGGGUAGUC
rnacentral:rRNA from 1 species